AUCUGUAGCAGUGAAGACUGUCACCACACGUAUGGGUGCAAGAGAACUCCACCAGAAGAUUAUUUAUCAUUGCAGAGCAUUGAAAUAUCAACCAUUCCUGCAUCUGCUUCAAAGGCUACAACAGAGGCUGCACCGAAAUCUACCAACAUCCUCCAUAUGAACAGUAUGCGUGCUCAAGAGACGGAAGCCGUAAAUGAAAGUUAUCUUACACCUUUAAUUGCUGGUAUUAUCAGUCUUUUGAUCGUUGCAGGAAUGUUACUGAUCCUCUACGUAAUGACAUAUUCACAUAAAGACACGUGUAUAGUUCAAGGAAAUACAUCAAGUAAAAGCACACCUUGAAAUGAUAGAAUUUACGCCCCUCACGUUCAAUCAAAAUAUGACCGCAUGGGAUAUUUUCUCUGAACAUGUAUCUAAAAGAGUAACAAUGUAAUAAAAGAAUCAAGUUUUGUAUUAUUCGGAAUUCUUAUCUAUACCAAUAAAAAACAAAGAAACACAUAGAACUAAUUUUACUCUGAAUCUCAUCAAAUAAUUUUUCAAACAUCUUUCUGGUAAAGAAAGACUGAUCUAAUUACUCAUUGUAACAGCUAAUGCUGUUAUUCACUAGAUAAAUAUUUGAAAGAAUUUGAGGACAAUAGAACGUGUUUUCAUAAAAUCUUAAAACAGUCUCUGUAGCUCUCGAUUGUUGUAAGUCCCUAUUCCACUUGUUUCAAGCACCAGUAGUCUAUAAAAUGAACGGCUUUUCUAUAUGCCAUUGCAUUGUUGUUAAAUGUAACCGUGUUUUGAGAUUUGUCGCGUUCGAAUGAUGCUCAACGCAACGAUGCAAUUGGAUGAAUAGAAGCAGGUGUGUCAUCAUUUACAGUUCGAAGAGAUUGCAAUGUUGCAAAUAGCACCAUAUCUCGGCUUUUGGGCAGAUAUGAACACCAUGGUUAAAAGAUGAUCGUCAUAGAUCAGGUAUACCAAAGGUGAGUUCAUCAGCACAGUAUCACUUAAUCUGAUUGCUUCAUUGUCAACGAUUCAUAACAGCGCCAUAUACAACAACUAUCACUCCAGGAAUUUGCAGAAUGAAAAAUUAAAAGGUGAAGAGAACGAAAGUAACCAAUCUCAAAACUCUUAUUAGGAAUACAAAUUAAGAGUAAGGCAAAUGCGGACCCCAUGUCAUACCAGAGAUGAAAACAGUUGCCUAGGAGGACUAAGCAUCCUCUGUUGACCGGUCGCACCAGCCAUCAUUUUGAUCGGGUAAACGAAUAAUUAAUCCAUAGUAAAAUCCGUGUGUAAACAACGAUCUCAAUUGCUAUAAUACAUGUCUGACAUCAUUUCACAUAAUGGCAGUGUGUAUUGGUAAAUUACAUUCUGAUAACGACAAUGAAUUUUGCAAAAUGCAAACUUUGAAUGAAAAUGUUGAGACCCUUGCACCAUCAACUUGUUUGUCAGUAGCCUGAGUCGAUUUUAAAAGCAUGAUCAUACGCAGAACAAGCUCUUGCGUAUAAAAUCAGUUAAGAGACAUAAACAGCAUGUGCAGGUGAUAAUGAAAUAUUGGUACAUCAAAUUGGGAAGUUAACGAUGAGGAAGCUGAAAUCAUAGCGUUUGUCAUAAAGUUGAGUUGCUAUUUUGCCGUUGAUAUCCAUUUUCAAUAAAAUGUCCAAGUAUGAAGCAGAAGUGGAGGGCUAUGUUGUGAGUUUUAUCUCGAGUUCACCGGGGUGAAAGGUGAAGAUAACGAACAGUGAUCAAUCUCAUAACUCUCGCAAGGAAUACAAAAUACAAAGUUUGUCAAACACGGACCCCAGGACAUACCAAAGUUGAGAUCAGGUACCUAGGAUAUAUAUGUGCAGUUUUGUGUCGCUGUUCAUGAAUCAUCAAAAUAUCCUGAUAGCUGACAAAACGUUGGAGUGUUCAAUACAUUUUAAAGACUAAGUCUUAAAUUCCGUGUUUAUUUCAUUUUGAUCCAUUAUAUCCAGUGUUCACUAAACUCUGAUGAGUAUUAUAUUCAGUGCUCACUAAAGUCUGAUGAGUAUUAUAUUCAGUGUUCACUACAUGUCAAUUACCAUUAUAUUUAGCGUUCACUACUUUUUGAUUACUGACAAGUAAAUUCAAUGUUCACUGAUAAUGAUCAUUGUCUAUCAUAUUCAGAGUUCGAGUCCCGCUACUCUCAUGGCCGUGUCCAACUUAUGACGUAAAUAUAGGUACUGACUGCUCCUUCGUCAAACGAAGGAAAUCACAUGCCUUCCGGAUAUGACCUACAACACGGAUCCCGUGUCACAGCAGGCUUUGGUAUGUUAAAGAACCAUCACUACUAUAACCCUAAGCGCUUAGCAUGGGUCUAAUAUUGUGGUACUUCACCUAUAGGUGCCACCAUCUCAAUGUGAGUGAACAAUUCUCAACGGAACGAAAACGACAAAAAAAACCACACACCAUGAACCGGUACUUUUGUUGCAAUUGUGUGUGUGUGUUUUCAGUUUAACCAUUGACGUCAAACCAUAUUCUAAAUCUGACUAUAUAGAUAUUUGCUCAUAAAAGAAGUCAAAUCAGACUCUAAAUCCAAUUCUAUAGAUCUGUGUUAAGAUGACAACAUUGAAGUCAUAUCAAACUUUUAAACAUGACUACACAGAAGAUAAUACCACUAGAGUCAAAUCAGAUUCUAAAUAUGAUUAAAACUUCAAAGUUAACAGAUUAUCUUCCAUAUAUUUAUUUGAAAGCUACUGCUGAUAUUAACUUUGUUCUCUUUGUAUAUUUCCUAUACUUACUGUACGAGUUAAAACUCUCUGUAGAUUUUGUCAAUUUAUAAAUGAAUAGGUAUAAAAUGAUUUCAAAUCAGUCUUCACCUUUUGUGAAAUCUUUCCUGAGAAGAUAUGACAUUGGACAUAAAACCAAAACAAAAAAAUUAAGAGUCUCUUCUGAAGGCAUAUUUCAAUCUUUUGCAUCUAAGAAAUCCUAAAUUAUUCCUCUUCUUCUUUUCAUUCAUGUGGAUGGAAAUAAAAUUCUUAUGCAAGGAAGCAAAAUGUACAUGUGUUUUAAUGAUAUUAUGAUCACUUUUACUACGAUUCACAAACAUGUGAACACUUGAAUUGUGAGGAAUGAGGAAAAAUCAUAACCGUGUGAAAAAUACUUGCGAUCAUAAAAAUGUUGAUCGAAUGCCAUCCAGGUAUGGUACUAAUAUGAAAUCACAUAUUUCCCGCAUUGCAAAAGAAAUAAUUUUCCAAACUCUUCAAAUUGUUAAAUGGCUAGAUGGAAUGUCAUACACGCGACAUAUUUUGUUUGUACAUUAUCAAGAUAUAGCAUGGCUCAAACUGUUAUCACGAAAGUAGGUUUUGUUACUGGAUGGUUAACUUAUGAUAUAAUAUGAAGUGUAAAGUAUGUCCUCACAUGUCUGUAUGGUUUUUUUAAGAACUACUUUAUGAAUUUGCUCUCU